GCAGGUCUUCUCCAGGCCACCUCCAGAGUCGGAUGAUUUGAGGUACCAUGAGCCGGUGUGGAGCCAAGUUUGGAAACGGUGUAAGAGACAGUCCAAAGAUCCCUCAUCUGCCUCAGGAUCAUUGCCGAGGACAGAGACUGAGCACAGGAGUCCUGGCCUGGCUGAGGUGGGAAGGACUGCGCUGAAGGGGAAAGGAAUGACCUGUCCUGUACACCUGUCUUGUACGUCUGUCCUGUACCCAUUUCCCAAAGCAACGGACCCCAUAACAACAGCUGUAGGUUUCCCAACCUCUUGGCCAGUUGCCCCUCACUUCUGAAAAGGACAUAAAAGGGA